rnacentral:rRNA from 1 species
UACGAAGGGGGCUAGCGUUGCUCGGAAUCACUGGGCGUAAAGGGCGCGUAGGCGGCCAUUCAAGUCAGAGGUGAAAGCCCAAGGCUCAACCUUGGAACUGCCUUUGAUACUGUUUGGCUUGAGACCGGUAGAGGUAAGUGGAACUGCGAGUGUAGAGGUGAAAUUCGUAGAUAUUCGCAAGAACACCAGUGGCGAAGGCGGCUUACUGGACCGGUUCUGACGCUGAUGCGCGAAAGCGUGGGGAGCAAACGGG